rnacentral:lncRNA from 1 species
UGUGUCAUGGGGGUUUGUUGUAUAGAUUAAUCACCCAGGUACUGAGCCUAGUACCCAGUAGUUAUUUUUCACCUUCUCUCCCUUCUGCCACCCUCCACCCUCCUUUUCUGGGCUGGUGUCAUGUCUUUGCAACUGUGAACAGUGCUAGGCUGGUGUCAUGUCUUUGCGACUGUGAACAGGGCUGCAGUGCACAUUUGCAUGCACGCAUCUUUAUGGUGGAAAGAUUUAUAUUCCUCUGAGCGUAAACCCAGUAAUGGAGCAAUCUGAUUUCUGACAAAGUUUGUAAAGGCAAUUCCAUGGGGACAGAAAUCUUUUCAACAAAUGCUGCUGGAACAACGGGAUGUCCACAGGAAAACAAUAAACCUCGAACCAAAGAAGAUUUACAGAUGGCAAAUAAGCAUGGGGCCAGACGCGCGACAUCCUUUGACGUGAGGGAGUGCCCAUGAAAAUAGCAGUGAGGCACCGCACACCUGUCACGAUAGCCCAAAUCCAGAGACCGACAUCACCAAAUGCGGGUGAGGAUGUGGAGCAACAGGAACGCACUCAUCGCUGUGGGAAGUGACUGCAAAAUGGCACAGUCACUUGGAAGUCAGUUGGUGGUUUCUUACAAAAGUAGGCAAAAUCCUGCCACAGGAUUCAGCAAAUGUGCCCCUUGGUAUUCACUCACAUGAACUGAAAAUUUCGGUUCACAUGCAAACCUGCACACAGAUAUUUCGAGCACUUUUAUUCAUAACUGCCACAGAUUGGAAGCAACCAAGAUGCCCUUCAGUAGGGGACUGGAUAACUGUAGUCCAUCCAGACAGCACAAGAAAGGCUCUGUCAUGCCGUGAAAAGACGUGAUGAAGUUUAACAGCAUUCUGCGAAGUGACAGGUGCUGGCUGAAAAGGCUGCACGCUGUGGGGUCCCACCGCAUGACAUUCUGGAACAGGUAGCACCAUGGAGCCAGGAAAGGGUUCCGUGGUGGUCAGUGGUGGUGGGGAGGGAGGGAUGAAUGGGUGGUGCACAGGGCCCUUUUGGGGCAGUGAAGCUGCUGUGUGUGGUGCUGUAACAGUGGAUGCACAGUGGAUAUUCAUUUAUCAAAACCCACAGAGCAUGCCAUACCAAGAGGGGCCCCCCAUAAGCUGCGGACUUCGGGCGGUCGUGCUGUGGCCAUGUAGGGUUCGGGCGGUCGUGGUGUGGCCGUGCAGGGCUCGGGUGCUCGUGUGUGGCCGUGUAGGGUUCGGGUGCUCAUGGUGUGGCCGUGUAGGGUUCGGGUGCUCGUGGUGUGGCCGUGUGGGGUUCGGGUGCUCGUGGUGUGGCCGUGUAGGGUCAUCACUGUUGUAAAUGCACUAUUCAGGGUGCGGGGUGUUGAUAAUGGGGGAGGCCGUGCAUGUGUGUCAGGAGGGUGUACAUGCAAACUCCAUCAUCUGCUCAAUUUUGCUGUGAACCUAGUAUUACUCUUAAAAAAAAGUCUAUUAAAAAAAAUCCAGGCUGGGCAUGCUGGCACAUACCUGUAUUCCCAGCUGCUUGGGAGGCUGAGGUGGGAGGAUUGCUUGAGGCCAUGAGUUUGAGACCAGCCUGGGCAACACAGUGAGACCCCCCAUAUCUGCAAAAAAACUUUAAAAAUUAGACAAGCAUGGUGGCACGCACCUGUACUCCCAGGUACUCAGGAGGCUGAGGAGUGAGGAUUGCUUGAGCCUGGGAGUUCAAGGCUACAGUGAGCUAUGAUUGCACCACUGCAUUCCAGCCUGCAUGACAGAGUGAGACCCUGUCUCAAAAACAACAAAACCAAAACAACAACCUAAACCUCACAAAAAAUGAACUCAAAUGGAUCAUCUAUUUAAAUGUCAAAUGUAAAACUAUAAAACUUUGAUAAGAAAACGUAGGAGAAAAUCUUUGGGACCUGGGAGUCAUUGAGGAAUUCUUAACCAUGACACCAAAAGCAGAUCCUUAGAAUUAAAAAGAACAAAAAAAAAAGGAUAAAUUAGACUUCACCAAAAAAAGAAAACAGCCUUUUCUCUGCAAAACCCUCAUUAAGAGGAUAUAAGAGAUAAGCUAUGGACUGGGACAAAAUAUUUACAAACCACACAUACACAAAAGUCUAGCGUCUAGAACACAUAAACAACGAGAAGGCGCAGCUCGGAGCAGGGCUGGGAGGAUGAGCAAAGGCAGACGUGCCGGCUGCAGCCACACUCCAUGAGUGAGUGGCUGCUGCAUGCCGGGCCUCCAGCUGACAGUGCCUCCCGGGGUCAACCCGAGGCCAGAGGCUCGGCAGUAUGCUGGAGACCCAUCCUGGUCACCUCCCACGUUCCCUGUGGGAACAGCUGCUUCUGCAGAACAUGGAAAAGGUCCAGGCUGGAAGCUGUGCAGAUAGAAUUUAGGAAGAGGGAAUGGAGAGAGUGCAGCAGAGGGAGGGAGGCCCCUGCACGGCAAGGUGGUGGCCACAUGCUCCAGAAGAGGACUUGGGCUCCGCACUGCAGGGAACAGGACCUGGGCUCCGCGCUGCGGGGAAGGGGAUCUGGGCUCCACACUGCAGGGAAGGGGACCUGGGCUGCGCGGUGCAGGGAAGGGGACCUGGGCUCCGUGCUGCAGGGAACGGGACCUGGGCUCUGCCCAGGGACUCCACAAUUCCUUACUAAUGUUACUGCCGUUUAUGGGGGCUCUGAACAACACCAAGUUUUAUUAAUACAUGCACAGAGUGUCAGAUGAUGACAUGCUAUCUCACUUAUGCUAAGGCUCACUCUCAUUUUAUCAUCUGUAACGUCAGGGUGCGCCUUAUAAUCAACAGGCCACAAAGAAAGUCACAAGCCAUACUCACAAGAACUAGGAAGUUCGUUGCAAAAUAUUCCUUGUCCGUGAUCAGCAUGGCACACACUAUCAGACUCACUCUGCCAACACAAUCACUAGAGCAGGUUCAUCUCCGAGGGGAAUGCCAGCCAGCUUUUCCCACCACUCCCCGUCCCCCCCCCCGAGAAAGCCCACCUGCAAACAGACCCAGGCCAGCUGGGCCCCUCUCCAGCUCCUGACCAGCAGCCCCAGAUCCCUGGGUGGCGGGCAGCUGACCUUCCCGACCGCCACUCAGAAUAACCAAGAAAGCCUGCCGACCCACCUGAAUGCGGCAGGGGAAGGGGAAGGGCGGCCCCAACAUCUCCGUGAGACACGCGGCCGCAUCACAGGAGCCUCAGCAGUGCGCGGGGCUGCAGAAUGAGGUGCACAACUAGGGCACCCCCCACCCGCAACACACACGGCACACAACCACAGAGGCACGGCCCCAGGCCAGGAGCGCACAACUGCCCUCAAAUGCCCUCAGCAGCCACGGCACACAGCCACAAACACACGACCCCAGGCCAGGAGCACACAACUGCCCUCAAACAUCAUCAGCAGCCACGCAGGGGAGGCCACGUCCACGUGACUUCAAACAUCAACACUAGACUAGGGUGCAACCGCGAAGCUGAGUCAGGGCCACACGCCCCCCUACGCCCCAAUCUGUGCCCACCCUUCCCCCCAUCCAACUGAGUCUUGUACAGGGGCU